GCAAACUUUUCCUCCCCACCACCGAGAGGGGGCGAGGAGGGGUAAAAGGGGAAGCAGGUUCCGCGGGGCGCGCGGACCUGCAGGCUCCUUGCUGGGCACCGCCACCCGCGAGCUGGACCCACAGGGGUACCGGGCCCCGCGGCCGCCCUCCGGCCGCUUUCUGGCUCCGGUUCCCGUCCCUGCGUUUCCCGCGGGAGCGGGGGGCGGGGUGCGGAGGGCAGCGAGGCCCGCGCGGUACCCAGCGGGGCCGCCCUGCAUGGCCCUGCGCAGUGGGGCGGGCUGCUUCGGCCGGGUCUGGCGCAGGGUGUCGGGGUUCCCGGACGCCUGGCCCCGGCGCUCGAGCAGCCUCCUGUGCCUGUCCGCCUUCUCGGCUGAGCCCGGGCCCGUGCCGCCCCUGCCCCGCCAGCCGCCUCGCGGUGGCGGUGGCUGUGGCGGCCCCAGCGGAGGGGGCCCCCCCCAGCCUCCCCGCCCCCCGCCUCCCCGCUGCUGCUGCUGCUGCUGCCGCCGCCGCUUACAACUUGGAGGCGGCGGCGGCGGCGGCGGCGGCGGAGGAGGAGGCGGCGGCGGCCGCCGGGCGCUGCAGUGGGACGCGCGCGGCUGUGAGCCUGCGGGACAUGCCCCCCGCGCCGGCUCCUUGCUGGCGGCCAUGAAGAGGCAGAACGUGCGGACUCUGUCCCUCAUCGUCUGCACCUUCACCUACCUGCUGGUGGGCGCCGCCGUGUUCGACGCCCUCGAGUCGGACCACGAGAUGCGCGAGGAGGAGAAACUCAAAGCCGAGGAGAUCCGGAUCAAGGGGAAGUACAACAUCAGCAGCGAGGACUACCGGCAGCUGGAGCUGGUGAUCCUGCAGUCGGAACCGCACCGCGCCGGCGUCCAGUGGAAAUUCGCCGGCUCCUUCUACUUUGCGAUCACGGUCAUCACCACCAUAGGUUAUGGGCACGCUGCACCUGGCACCGAUGCGGGCAAGGCCUUCUGCAUGUUCUACGCCGUGCUGGGCAUCCCGCUGACACUGGUCAUGUUCCAGAGCCUGGGCGAGCGCAUGAACACCUUCGUGCGCUACCUGCUGAAGCGCAUUAAGAAGUGCUGUGGCAUGCGCAACACUGACGUGUCUAUGGAGAACAUGGUGACUGUGGGCUUCUUCUCCUGCAUGGGGACGCUGUGCAUCGGGGCGGCCGCCUUCUCCCAGUGUGAGGAGUGGAGCUUCUUCCACGCCUACUACUACUGCUUCAUCACGUUGACUACCAUUGGGUUCGGGGACUACGUGGCCCUGCAGACCAAGGGCGCCCUGCAGAAGAAGCCGCUCUACGUGGCCUUUAGCUUUAUGUAUAUCCUGGUGGGGCUGACGGUCAUCGGGGCCUUCCUCAACCUGGUCGUCCUCAGGUUCUUGACCAUGAACAGUGAGGAUGAGCGGCGGGAUGCUGAAGAGAGGGCAUCCCUCGCCGGAAACCGCAACAGCAUGGUCAUUCACAUCCCUGAGGAGCCGCGGCCCAGCCGGCCCAGGUACAAGGCGGACGUCCCGGACCUGCAGUCUGUGUGCUCCUGCACCUGCUACCGCUCGCAGGACUAUGGCGGCCGCUCGGUGGCACCGCAGAACUCCUUCAGCGCCAAGCUUGCCCCCCACUACUUCCACUCCAUCUCUUACAAGAUCGAGGAGAUCUCACCAAGCACAUUAAAAAACAGCCUCUUCCCAUCGCCUAUUAGCUCCAUCUCUCCUGGGUUACACAGCUUUACCGACCACCAGAGGCUGAUGAAACGCCGGAAGUCCGUUUAGGGGAACUAACUGCACAUUCAAGAGAGGCGUCCGUGGAUGCUGGGUCUCACUGCCAAAGCCGAACACGGCUUCGGGAUUUCUGCCUUCUCAAGUGGACCUCUGCUGUGCUGGGCGAAUGCCUCUACUCAUUCCCCUACACAACUGUGGGGAUGGUCCAGCUACACAUAGACAGGAAGCCCAGAGAAACGCUCGAUGUGAGGGUCCCCGCAAGCCAGUCGGGCUCUUUCGGCACCCGGCCCCCCCAAAGCUCCUCAACGAGGAGUAGAGACUGCCAAGCCCUUCCACUCAUUCAUCAUCAUAAAAAUGUAACUUGCUAUGGCAGCCUCUUGGCCAUUAAGGGCUAUACUUUGUGACCUCUGUCCUUGAGAUCUUUGCUCUGACAAGUUCUAUAGCCUUCUCAGUGCUGCUAUCGUGAUGCAGUGUCCCUGCUGUGGCUAAGUAACCUUUCGUUUUGAUCAAGAUUUGUCCACGCAGACUCCUACCUCUGCGCCUUUGCCCGUGCCGUUUCCACUACCUGGAAGGUCUCCCCGUUGCUCUCCAGCUUUGAGGUGGAGACAGAGCAUCUCACACUUCCUUUUGGUGUCUCCUGACCCUUUUGCUCCCUGCUGGACUUGGCGAUGUCCUCUUCUGGGCUCCCCUAGUCCUUGUUUUGGUUGUGAGUGACCGCACCAGGGAGCAAACCUUCUAUGGCCCCGGCCACAGGAGAAGCAAGCACUGGGCAGUGCCCCAGAGGGAAGGACCAUCGCGAGAAUAAAGGCACUGAGAUGUCUGGCAUCUUGCCCAAAUGGCCACUCAUCACCGUGAUUGAGGCACGUCUUAACUUGCUGAAGUGGAAACAGGGUAACUCAAUGCACGCCUCUGCACCAUCCCUGGAAACCAAUCCAGAUCUAUGAGAAGAAAACUGGUCAUCACAGCACUGGUGAUUCAACGGCACCUGCCUGGCAGGGUGGAGUGUGCCCCAUACAACAGGGCUGGAAGCUGCCAUGCCAGGUAUUUCUCAUAAGGCGGGUACAGGGAUGGCACCAGACUAUGGGAGCAUACUUGUGAUGUCACUCUGAAGAAGUUGGGCCCCGUGAUGGGAAUGUCAUCAGGAAACUGGGUCCACACUGUUUUCUUGUGGCAACACUUCUGGUGGAGGCUGCGAGGGGAUGGGGACAUGCACCAGGAGUGACUCAGGAACCCCCAGCCUCUGUGGCCUGGCUCCUGCCCACCCCUAGCUCUGGGGCCUUGAGAGAGGCAAGCACACACUCUUCUCGCCUCCAGAGAGCGGCGUGGGGGUGUGGAUACUGCUCAGGCCCUGGCAUCUCGCACGCCUAGGACCAGCCUCUGCCAUUCACAGGACCAUGCAGGCGGCCCCAACAGAGGACGGGGACAGCUCUCUCCUGUAAGUGAGGCAGCCUCAUCCUUCCCUGGAUCCUCAGCAUCUCUUAACCAGCAGUGGCAGAGGUUGAAUUAGAAUGGCACCAGCUUCGGAUAAAAAUCCAGAUCUCGCUUUUCAAAAUGUGUUUAGAGCUGGUGGCUGUAAGGAACCAAUCAAGCCUCAGCUGUGAUUCUAAUCCUGCCAAGUCCACCUGAGAGCCGACUCAUUCAUCCAAAGAGAGAACGGUUUGGAUGGAGCUCAAGGUGCCUGGCUCGCUGGCAUAGCCCAGACAACCUCUUAAAGGCCGGGCCACAGAGCUAGAAGGUCUGUCACUACUCAGUUGGGGAAAUUGUCUGAGAAGUUCAAGUCCACUGCCUCGCAACUCAAAUGAGUCAGCCUCACCAACCAAGAAUCGCGUUCAUAAACAGACUCAGAGCCUGCAUGCCGUGGGGUUUCCCCGUCUGCAACUCUGUCACCUGGCCCUCCUGCAGGGCCCGGCGGGGACUGGGGAGGGUCAGUGCUCCCUGGGGCGGGGACUGGGUCUGUUUCCAGGCUCAGUGCCUCCGAGUCAUACAGAUGCCAGGUGGUCCUGCUGCUUACCCUCGCUGAACCUCAGGCUUCUCGUGUAAACAGGGCGCUUUUGAGGAAUUAUUAUUAACAUCUCCCUGUGAGUCAAAGCACCUACUGAGAUAAUGUAUGUGAUGCUUGUAAUAAAUGCAGCUACGUGCCAGGCACUCUGA